rnacentral:rRNA from 1 species
UACGGAGGGUGCAAACGUUGCUCGGAAUCAUUGGGCGUAAAGCGCACGUAGGCGGCCUGUUAAGUCGGGUGUGAAAGCCCUGGGCUCAACCCAGGAAGUGCACUCGAAACUGGCGGGCUUGAAUAUGGAAGAGGGUCGCGGAAUUCCCGGUGUAGAGGUGAAAUUCGUAGAUAUCAGGAGGAACACCUGUGGCGAAAGCGGCUCACUGGACCAUAACUGACGCUGAUGCACGAAAGCUAGGGGAGCAAACAGG